rfam:Aedes aegypti strain Liverpool supercont1.29 genomic scaffold, whole genome shotgun sequence.
GCUGGUGUGGUGGAGUGGUUAUGGUGCAUGGGCGUUUUGAACACGUUUUUGCUCAUGGUCAUGGGUUCGAAUCCCGUCGGCGGCA